rnacentral:rRNA from 1 species
UGACGGCAUCAGAUUUGANNUAAAGAUUUANNNGUAAUGGAUGGGGAUGCGNNNGAUUAGCUUGUNGNCGGGGUAACGGCCCACCAAGGCUACGAUCAGUAGGGGUUNUGAGAGGAAGGUCCCCCACAUUGGAACUGAGAUACGGUCCAAACUCAUACGGGAGGCAGCAGUGAGGAAUAUUGGUCAAUGGACGGAAGUCUGAACCAGCCAAGUAGCGUGCAGGAUGACGGCCCUAUGGGUUGUAAACUGCUUUUGUAUGGGGAUAAAGUUAGGGACGUGUCCCUAUUUGCAGGUACCAUACGAAUAAGGACCGGCUAAUUCCGUGCCAGCAGCCGCGGUAAUACGGAAGGUCCAGGCGUUAUCCGGAUUUAUUGGGUUUAAAGGGAGCGUAGGCUGGAGAUUAAGUGUGUUGUGAAAUGUAGACGCUCAACGUCUGAAUUGCAGCGCAUACUGGUUUCCUUGAGUACGCACAACGUUGGCGGAAUUCGUCGUGUAGCGGUGAAAUGCUUAGAUAUGACGAAGAACUCCGAUUGCGAAGGCAGCUGACGGGAGCGCAACUGACGCUUAAGCUCGAAGGUGCGGGCAUCAAACAGG